AUCACAGCUCAGUUAGGUGUAAUUAGAACAUCACAGCUCAGUUAGGUGUAAUUAGAACAUCCCAGCUCAGUUAGGUGUAAUUAGGUAUAAUUAGAACAUCACAGCUCAGUUAGGUGUAAUUAGAACAUCACAGCUCAGUUAGGUGUAAUUAGAACAUCACAGCUCAGUUAGGUGUAAUUAGAACAUCCCAGCUCAGUUAGGUGUAAUUAGGUGUAAUUAGAACAUCAAAGCUCAGUUAGGUGUAAAUAGAACAUCACAGCUCAGUUAGGUGUAAUUAGAACAUCCCAGCUCAGUUAGGUGUAAUUAGAACAUCACAGCUCAGUUAGGUGUAAUUAGGUAUAAUUAGAACAUCACAGCUCAGUUAGGUGUAAUUAGGUGUAAUUAGGUGUAAUUAGAACACCGCAGCUCAGAUAGGUGUAAUUAGAACAUAACAGCUCAGUUAGGUGUAAUUAGAACAUCACAGCUCAGUUAGGUGUAAUUGGAACAUCACAGCUCAGUUAGGUGUAAUUAGAACAUCACAGCUCAGUUAUGUGUAAUUAGGUGUAAUUAGGUGUAAUUAGGUGUAAUUAGAACAUCACAGCUCAGUUAGGUGUAAUUAGAACAUCACAGCUCAGUUAGGUGUAAUUGGAACAUCGCAGCUCAGUUAGGUGUAAUUAGAACAUCACAGCUCAGUUAGGUGUAAUUAGAACAUCACAGCUCAGUUAGGUGUAAAUAGAACAUCACAGCUCAGUUAGGUGUAAUUAGAACAUCCCAGCUCAGUUAGGUGUAAUUAGAACAUCACAGCUCAGUUAGGUGUAAUUAGAACAUCACAGCUCAGAUAGGUGUAAUUAGAACAUCACAGCUCAGUUAGGUGUAAUUAGAACAUCACAGCUCAGUUAUGUGUAAUUAGGUGUAAUUAGGUGUAAUUAGGUGUAAUUAGAACAUCACAGCUCAGAUAGGUGUAAUUAGGUGUAAUUGGAACAUAACAGCUCAGUUAGGUGUAAUUAGAACAUCACAGCUCAGUUAGGUGUAAUUGGAACAUCACAGCUCAGUUAGGUGUAAUUAGAACAUCGCAGCUCAGUUAGGUGUAAUUAGAACAUCACAGCUCAGUUAGGUGUAAUUAGAACAUCACAGCUCAGUUAGGUGUAAUUAGAACAUCGCAGCUCAGUUAGGUGUAAUUAGAACAUCACAGCUCAGUUAGGUGUAAUUAGAACAUCACAGCUCAGUUUGGUGUAAUUAGAACAUCACAGCUCAGUUAGGUGUAAUUAGAACAUCACAGCUCAGUUAGGUGUAAUUAGAACAUCACAGCUCAGUUAGGUGUAAUUAGAACAUCACAGCUCAGUUAGGUGUAAUUAGGUGUAAUUAGAACAUCACAGCUCAGAUAGGUGUAAUUAGGUGUAAUUAGAACAUCACAGCUCAGUUAGGUGUAAUUAGAACAUCACAGCUCAGUUAGGUGUAAUUAGAACAUCACAGCUCAGUUUGGUGUAAUUAGAACAUCACAGCUCAGUUAGCUGUAAUUAGAACAUCACAGCUCAGUUAGGUGUAAUUAGAACAUCACAGCUCAGUUAGGUGUAAUUAGGUGUAAUUAGAACAUCACAGCUCAGUUAGGUGUAAUUAGAACAUCACAGCUCAGUUAGGUGUAAUUAGAACAUCGCAGCUCAGUUAGGUGUAAUUAGAACAUCACAGCUCAGUUAGGUGUAAUUAGAACAUCACAGCUCAGUUAGGUGUAAUUAGAACAUCACAGCUCAGUUAGGUGUAAUUAGGUGUAAUUAGAACAUCACAGCUCAGUUAGGUGUAAUUAGGUGUAAUUAGAACUUUACAGCUCAGUUAGAUGUAAUUAGGUGUAAGUAUGUGUAAUUAGAACAUCACAGGUCAGUUAGGUGUAAUUAGAACAUCACAGCUCAGUUAGGUGUAAUUAGGUGUAAUUAGAACAUCACAGCUCAGAUAGGUGUAAUUAGGUGUAAUUAGAACAUCACAGCUCAGUUAGAUGUAAUUAGAACAUCAUACCCCAGUUAGGUGUAAUUAGAACAUCACAGCUCAGUUAGGUGUAAUUAGAACAUCACACCCCAGUUAGGUGUAAUUAGAAUAUCACAGCUCAGUUAGGUGUAAUUAGAACAUCACAGCUCAGUUAGGUGUAAUUAGAACAUCACACCCCAGUUAGGUGUAAUUAGAAUAUCACAGCUCAGUUAGGUGUAAUUAGAACAUCACAGCUCAGUUAGGUGUAAUUAGAACAUCACAGCUCAGUUAGGUGUAAUUAGAACAUCACAGAUCAGUUAGGUGUAAUUAGAACAUCACAGCUCAGUUAGGUGUAAUUAGAACAUCACAGCUCAGUUAGGUGUAAUUAGAACAUCACAGCUCAGUUAGGUGUAAUUAGAACAUCACAGCUCAGUUAGGUGUAAUUAGAACAUCACAGCUCAGUUAGGUGUAAUUAGGUGUAAUUAGAACAUCACAGCUCAGAUAGGUGUAAUUAGGUGUAAUUAGAACAUCACAGCUCAGUUAGGUGUAAUUAGAACAUCACAGCUCAGUUAGGUGUAAUUAGAACAUCUCAGCUCAGUUAGGUGUAAUUAGAACAUCACAGCUCAGUUAGGUGUAAUUAGAACAUCACAGCUCAGUGAGUCUGCCAAAUACAC